AGCCUUCUGUAUCCGUGCUGAGAUUUCGUCACACACAAACUACAAGGGCUGAUGAGACUUCCAAGGUAAAUGAAGCG
rnacentral:pre_miRNA from 1 species